rnacentral:lncRNA from 1 species
ACGAAUUUGACAUCACUUCCGUCUGUACUUCGUCGGGCCACAACCCUCUGACGUCGACUUCAAAACACUUCCGUAAAUAUUCCACUCCGUUUUUAGUGUACUAGCUAGCAUACGAAGUGUUUGGAAAUAUUUCUUUUUUGCUACAUUUAUCUAAAUAGAAUGAAGGCCAAGGGAUUUGCAGUAGCCCAUCACCAGUAAAGGUAAAGCGUUAGUUAGCCUAGCAGGUAAACGGACAACUAACCUAGUUAGCUGGGACACACUCUUUUUUUUCUCAACCACUUCGAUAGAGCUACGACCGGAAAUGAUAUUAAUAGCAGGUUAGGAGGGCAGUUUUGCUAACCAUAAUUAUUUUCAUAACCUUAUUAACAAAAUUGUCCUAACCUGCUACACUGAUUCUCAUAACCCGUUGCGUAAUAAUUUGUCCUAAUCUGCUACGAGAAAGGUAACUUCCGGUCGUAGCUGUAUCGAAGUGGCGUGAAGAGUGUUUCUCAUAGUUAGAUAGCUACAUCUCCAAAUACGAUGUAGGCAUUUGCAGGCACUUGGCUAGCUCAUUUAUAUAGGGGAAAUUACAUUAUCUGUCUAGCUCAUUUAGAAAUGAAUGUCAUCGGGGGGUUUUGAUUAGUUUGUCUUUUGUAGAGACAUUGGUGCAAAAUGGAUGUUGACGUUAAACUAGAGGAAGAUGAGAGGGAGAUAUCCCAAACAAUAAUUUGGUCUGAUUCGAUUAAUGCCUGGAUAGAUUACCCAAAUUCAACAUUGUCAGGAAACACAGAAACAGGUUACCAUGUGGGUUUACUGAAAGAUAAUUCACAUGUACAUCCCAUCAGUCCCCAAACAACAAGCCAAGGGCAGAUUUUACGUAUUUUUCCUGAAAUGACCGGAGCAAGUGAUGUGGAGAACAGGGCUGUCAAAGUGGUUUAUUUCUGUAAAGAUCAAGAUACCAUCGGCACAUCUGAAGUUAAUUCAAUCAAAGAGCGAUCGUGGCAUUUAGCACCAUCCAGUGAUAUUCUGACAGGACAUGCAUCCGCCUUCAGUGGUUAUUUUGAAGCUGAAAUCAACCCAACUUCGCAGGUUUCUUGCCAAACACAGACCCAGAUCAAUAAUGAAUUGCCCUCUGACAAUGUUAAUAUCCCAAGCCAUAGUACUGCCAUUCAUUCUGUGCUAACCUCACCUGCUACAGAAAGCGGCUGUAAUUUAGCUGUAUCUACUAGGCCUAUUCUUCCAGAAUAUUGUGAGCCAUUGAACUUUCCCUCUGAUGAAGAGGAAAACUACAAUGUCAAUUUAAGACAAAGACUACAAUGCCAGAAAACGUUAGAGGAUAAAUAUAUACGUCAGUGUCGUGGCAGUUACUCAAGACCAAACCUAAGAAAGUUUGGGAAAUACUGGAAAGAUCCAUACGCCAAGUGCAAGGAGAUGGGUGUAGAUUUCAAUGUUGGAUCAGGAGCGAAACAGAAACUUGAUUUGCAUUUACUGACAUUUGGUGUAAUGCUUGAGGUGUCAGAAUAUGCUAGAAACAUUAAUAGAUCUCGCCCUCAUGUUAUCUUUGAUAUUCUAGAUUACAACUUUGGUCUUGGUGUACAAAAUGAACAACAAUAUGACUUUUCAAACAAGAUAGAAAAGAAAUUAAAAGAAAUGCUGAAGAUGCAUUCCAAGAGAACACCUGCGUGGUUAACAGAAGUGUUUGAACUUCCUGAUCCAAAGACGGUUAAAGUUUUGGAAUACUCCCUUAAAUGGGCACAGUUCUAUUUACAAAACAGCUGGUCAAAUCCUACACCGUUUGACAUUUGCAUAAAGGAGGAGCCUGUUGUUGGCCUGAUCUCUCCUCUGCAUGUGACGACAGAGAGCUUCUCUACCGAGACAGAUGUAACACGAUGUGCUGAUGAGACUGCAAUCCUUGGCCCUGAAAAUGGACGUAAUGAUAUCUGCACAAGGUAUGAACCUGAUAUGGGCAUCGUCUAUCCUCAACAUGUCCAGGCGGACACCUUCACAUCUCAGACAGAUAUAACAAUGGGCCAAUCCUUAAUAAUGCCCACUGUAGAAGAAGCAUUGAGGGACCUCUACCCCAUCUGUAAGGAAAAAGGACUUGACAUUGUUGUGAAAUCAAAAUAUGGGAAAGCUGAGAAACUUGACUUGCAUCUAUUGACCAGAGAUGUAAUGUUUGAAUUGGCUGAUUUUGCCUCACAAGUGUGUGGAAAUUGGAAGCAGAUUGUGUGUGAGGUUCUCGAGCAUAAUUUUGAUUUGGAUUUAAAAAGUGGUAAAACUGAGCUGGCUGAAGAUAUUAUGGGAAGGUUAAGAGCAGUUUUGCAGCGCAAGACGGGUAAAAACGGUACAUGGAGAUGGGAACUUGAAAAUGAAGCUUUCUUCUUAAAGAAGUCACGCAAACGAAAGAAUCCUGCAGAGAUGUCCAGUAACCAGAAGGUCACUACAGCAUCACUUGAGCCAAAAUACCAAAUGAAAGAAGUAUCAAAAAGAAGGAGAUUGAAUUUAAUGAGGAAGAAGAAAGACAUGGACAUGUUUGUAACCAAGGAGACUGAGGGAGGCCAUUUUUUUGAAGUCAUACAAAUAGAACCUCAUUGUGUCAAAACAGAGAGAAUCUCUGAUGACACUGACCUUGCACUUUGUACUGAUGAAACAAAGCAAAUUGGUAACAACAAUGUAGACCAAUCAAAUGUGACGUCUCACACCAAAAAAAUGGUGAAAGCCGAAGCGUGCUACCCACUCUGUGAGGAAAUAGGCGUGGACCUUGAUGUUGCAUCCAAACCUUCUAAAAAUAAACUGGAAUUUCACUUACUGACAAACGGUGUAAUAUUUGAGGUGUAUAAAUAUGCUAAGAUAAAAUCCUAUCAUAAAAAAGAAAAAAGAUUUGGCUAUAUUCUCUUUGAUAUUCUAAAAUAUAAUUUUGAUCUUAGUUUGCAAAAUCAGAGACGUAAUCUAUUUCAACUGCGUAUUAACUGUAAAGUGAAAAGAAUGGUUCAGAAACACAAACCUGAGCUCUUGGGAAAAGGAGAAAUCUCUAAAGAAGUGUUCAUACUACCGAGUGUGAUUAAAAGCCAAGCAAAAAAAAAAACUGUGCUUUCAGAUUAUUUUCCUGAAAAAAAUAUAGAACAAGAUGCAAGGCUGGUUUAUCCUCAUCAUAGUAAAGACACUAUCGCUGUGGAGACAGUUGAAACAAUCUCCACUGAUGAAGCAGUAAUGCUUGGCCAGGAUAAUGGACCUGCUGACAUCUGCAUAAAGGAGGAGUCUGAUCUUCACUCUGAGGUCAAACUGGUUUAUUUCUGCAAAGACCAAGAAACUGUCAGAACAUCUGAAGAGCAUUUGAUCAAAGAUGGAUCAUGGCAUGGAUCAACACCCAGUAAUAUUCUGACUGGAAAUGUAUUCAGCCUUCCACAGUCGCCACUACCAGCUGCAGAAAGUGGUCCUUUCGGAAGUAAAAUCAAGUCAACAUCACAGAUAUAACCAGAAGGUCCCUGCAGCAUCACUUGAGCCAAAAUACCAUAGGCUCACAGAAGUAACAGGGGGAAAAAAGGGAUUUAAUGAGGAUAAAUAAAUGUUUAUAGCCAAGAAGGAAAAGAAAGUUGUCAGACAAGUAGAACCUCAUUGAGAUGAGAUGGAGAGCAUCUGCCAAGGAAAAGAAAAGCACUUCCUGACUGAGCUCUCAGGGAAAAGAAAAGCACUUCCUGACUGAGCUCUCAGGGAAAAGAAAAGCACUUCCUGACUGAGAUCUCAGGGAAAAGAAAAGCACUUCCUGACUGAGCUCUCAGGGAAAAGAAAAGCACUUCCUGACAGAUCUCAGGGAAAAGAAAAGCACUUCCUGACUGAGAUCUCAGGGAAAAGAAAAGCACUUCCUGACUGAGCUCUCAGGGAAAAGAAAAGCACUUCCUGACUGAGAUCUCAGGGAAAAGAAAAGCACUUCCUGACUGAGCUCUCAGGGAAAAGAAAAGCACUUCCUGACUGAGCUCUCAGGGAAAAGAAAAGCACUUCCUGACUGAGCUCUCAGGGAAAAGAAAAGCACUUCCUGACUGAGAUCUCAGGGGAAAAAAAGAUGCAAGAUGGAAAGAAAAGUCUGAUCUGCUCCCUAGGGAAAAGCCAGUUUCUUAUUUGCCUGGGGGAAAAAAAGAUUGAUAUUGUUAUAUGUGAUGAAGUGCAACACGAGGUGGAUUCUUACUGAACUUUCAAAAUGCUUUGUAGUUGAGACUGGUUCUGAGAAGAAAUGCUAACAAAUCCUUGCUGAAUACAGAUCAGACAUCCUAGGAUUUGGGGGCUAUUAUAUUGGUCUUUUGGAUCAUACUUGGAAUGUGAAAAGGUUCCUAAUGUUAGUUUUAGGUCUCCCUGAAGUCCGUAGACUUCCAUUCUAUUACUCACCCUAGAACAGUCAACAAGCCUAACACGGAUGUGUAUUCAUUAGGCAUACUGUAGCUAAAUGUUUAAUGGGGAGUCAACAAGCCUAACACAGAUGUGUAUUCAUUAGGCAUACUGUAGCUAAAUGUUUAAUGGGGAGUCAACAAGCCUAACACAGAUGUGUAUUCAUUAGGCAUACUGUAGCUAAAUGUUUCAUGGGGAGUCAACAAGCCUAACACAGAUGUGUAUUCAUUAGGCAUACUGUAGCUAAAUGUUUAAUGGGUAGUCAACAAGCCUAACACAGAUGUGUAUUCAUUAGGCAUACUGUAGCUAAAUGUUUCAUGGGGAGUCAACAAACCUAACACAGAUGUGUAUUCAUUAGGCAUACUGUAGCUAAAUGUUUCAUGGGGAGUCAACAAGCCUAACACAGAUGUGUAUUCAUUAGGCAUACUGUAGCUAAAUGUUUCAUGGGGAGGCUACACUAACGCUUCUUGGACCAAUUCAGAAAUUGGUACACAAGGAGUAGCCUAGUCUUUUUAGGAUUAAGUGAAAAUAGGGAGACAAUAUAUUUUAAACGUAUUCGUAUUAAGGGUUUUAGUCUUUUGAAUAGUGGAUUUUUGCAGAUUGCCUUGGCCUUCCUUCCUGUUUAACUGUUGAUGUCUGGUCUCGCUGUAGAGAAUGAAUACAGCAGGAUUAUUGCGAGACUUAUUUUUUUUCUCUUAACUAUUUUACACCGUAUUCAUUGAUGAGACAAACUCGACUACUUUUACAAGCCUCUAUAUAGAAGAAAACUUCUGAUCUUUUUUUGUUUAGAAAUAAAAAGACAAACAGAUAUAUUUUAUUUUGUAAGAGUAUGCAUUAGUGAAAUAACCUACUAUGAUGGGUCAUGUUUUUAUCUUUUUUUUUUAUCAGUGGGCUAUUUUGAUUUUUUUUUUUUUGCCCUUUUUUUGUGGAAAGGUUAAGAGACUGCAUCAAGACCUGCCUUACUGUUACCCACAUGUUCCUGUUUUGAACAUGGAGCUAUUCUACCGUAAACUAAGAUUUUUUUAAUUUUUUUUAAGGAUACUUCCACUGACAUUCUUAGAGGUGUCAUUUUAUUGUGAGGAACUGCAUUUCGAUCAGAAUAGUUUUUCUGUUUUGUCCUCUGUUUUUGUGAGUGACUCAGUCACUCGUCUCAGUGCACAAGUCUCCCCUUUCUCCAGACAUGGCGUAUGAAUCAGAAUCCGUAGCUAGUUAUGACACGUGAGCUUCUGGAUGAAAAGCAGAGUAUCCCUAAAGCAGCGUGGUCGUAUCAUCCCUUCUCCAUGUUGGACUAAACACUUUCAACUCUACACAAGUGAAAACCCCAAAUCCCUAAAGUGGUGGAGAAGGAGGCCACCUACAGAAUGUUAGGAGCAGUGGCUUGUUCCCAGGAGACCAACACUUGAGGACGCAACUUCUGUCAUGAUGACGAGGUGGCAUCUCCGCUGAUCCUCUAUUUGCCAUACUAGAGGGACAUGAAGUCUGACUCCAUCUUCAACAUGUGGACCUGCCCUGAUGAUGUUGGACACCACUGUUACACCUUCAGCCAUGUUGAUUUCCUGUCAGACUGGGUUUUUUAUUUUUUACUCCUUUCCAUGGACGGACUGACCUUUUACCAGAACAGGAAUACAAUGUUUAUCAGACCCUCCUCACCAGUGGACUAACUACUCAAACUGGUCGUGAAGUCACAGGAAAUAGACUGAUCUGUUAGGAGGGAUGCAGCAUUCUAAUCCUGGUUAGAUUAUAGUUAUAAGGAGAGUUCAGGUAGUAACCAGUACAUUGAGAUAAAUGUAGAUGUCCACACUCUGGACAAUAUAAAAGGCUUUGGAGAGGGACCACGUUUUCAGGAGAAGGAUAACAGGACCUUGUCCAGAAACAACCCCCAGCUCUGUAUGCAACUGUAUGCACAAUUCCCUGAUUCUAUUAAAUAAUGUAUUACAUUGCCUUUAUAAAAUUUCCUGUACACAUCACAUUUUAGAAAUUCAAUGGUCAUGAAAUUAUUAUUAUUUUUUCCGCAUUUACACUGUUUGGCCUUUUGUCGUGGAAUUGUUUGUGUGCAUCUUAAGAGUGGAAACCCUGUGUAUAGAUCUGAAAUGAUUCGCUCUUUAAACAUUUCAUCUAGCCUAUCAGUGGGUACGUUUUGUCACUUUUGCUUUGUUAUACCACAAUCUUUGAGUUUUACAUUAAUUCUAGUCUGGCAACAGGUUCUCUGGGUUUAAAUAAAAUGAGGUUUCCUAGGGUCUCAGAUGUAGAUAAAUCCUAAAAAUCAUGUUCAAUGGAGACUCACCGUUGAAAGUGUUUUUACAGGCCUGCUACACUGGACAGUAUUGUAGCAGGGCAUUAGAGGCUCUUACUUAAACCCGGCCAUGGUGUAGGUCCCUCAGG